rnacentral:rRNA from 1 species
UGUGUAGGCAGUUGGUCAUGUUCGGUGUGAAAUCCCCCGGCUCACCCGGGGAACUGCAUUGAAAACUGGCCGGCUUGAGGGCAGGAGAGGAGACUGGAAUUUCCGGUGUAGCGGUGAAAUGCGUAGAUAUCGGAAGGAACGCCAAUGGCGAAAGCAAGUCUCUGGCCUGUUUCUGACGCUGAGGCACGAAAGCCAGGGUAGCAAACG